UACGGAGGGGGCUAGCGUUGUUCGGAAUUACUGGGCGUAAAGCGCGCGUAGGCGGCUUUGUAAGUUAGAGGUGAAAGCCCGGAGCUCAACUUCGGAAUUGCCUUUAAGACUGCAUCGCUAGAAUCGUGGAGAGGUGAGUGGAAUUCCGAGUGUAGAGGUGAAAUUCGUAGAUAUUCGGAAGAACACCAGUGGCGAAGGCGACACACUGGCUCACUACUGACGCUGAGGCGCGAAAGCGUGGGGAGCAAACAGG
rnacentral:rRNA from 1 species